rnacentral:rRNA from 1 species
AUUGAACGCUGGCGGCAUGCCUUACACAUGCAAGUCGAACGGCAGCAUGAUCUAGCUUGCUAGAUUGAUGGCGAGUGGCGAACGGGUGAGUAAUACAUCGGAACGUGCCCUGUAGUGGGGGAUAACUAGUCGAAAGAUUAGCUAAUACCGCAUACGACCUGAGGGUGAAAGGGGGGGACAGCAAGGCCUCAUCCUGUAGGAGCGGCCGAUGUCGGAUUAGCUAGUUGGUGGGGUAAAGGCCCACCAAGGCGACGAUCAGUAGCUGGCCUGAGAGGACGAUCAGCCACACUGGGACUGAGACACGGCCCAGACUCCUACGGGAGGCAGCAGUGGGGAAUUUUGGACAAUGGGGGCAACCCUGAUCCAGCAAUGCCGCGUGUGUGAAGAAGGCCUUCGGGUUGUAAAGCACUUUUGUCCGGAAAGAAAUCGCACUUACUAAUAUUAGGUGUGGAUGACGGUACCGGAAGAAUAAGGACCGGCUAACUACGCGCCAGCAGCCGCAGUAA